GUCUACGGCCAUUCCACCCGGAGUGUGUCCAAUCUCAUCAGAUCUUGGAAGCCAGUUAGAACUGGGCUUUGUGAGGACUUGGGUGGAAGACAUGAUGAAGCAGUAAGGA
rnacentral:rRNA from 1 species